rnacentral:rRNA from 1 species
UACGUAGGGGGCAAGCGUUGUCCGGAUUUAUUGGGCGUAAAGAGCGUGUAGGCGGCUGGGUAGGUCCGUUGUGAAAACUCGAGGCUCAACCUCGAGACGCCGAUGGAAACCCCCCGGCUAGAGUCCGGAAGAGGAGAGUGGAAUUCCUGGUGUAGCGGUGAAAUGCGCAGAUAUCAGGAAGAACACCCGUGGCUAAGGCGGCUCUCUAGUACGGUACUGACGCUGAGACGCGAAAGCGUGGGGAGCGAACAGG